rnacentral:tRNA from 1 species
GAGGGUAUAGCUCAGUGGUAGAGCACAUGCUUAGCAUGCAUGAGGUCCUGGGUUCGAUCCCCAGUACUUCCA